CUUUCAUUACAAAACUAACCACAUUCAGUUAUGUCUCUGGAUGAGCACUUUCAUGUAGAAUAACAGUUGCUCGUCGGACCAUAUUAUGGUGUGAAUUUGUGGAGCAACAACUAAAUGGAUACCAUAUGGAUGACACAUCUGAAGUCUGCCUGUCAAGCUGAUGUUUUUUAGUUCUCUGUACUGCCAAUUGGUGUUUUUAAGGGGGAAUAGUUCUCUUUAGCCAUCUUUUCAAUAUGUUUUGGAAGAUGAAUGGCUUAAUCUAUAUGGAGGUGUGCCUGCGGAAUUGAUAAUUUUCAUUCGAGUAUAUCCAAGUGUACUCUUCUGAGGGGAUAUACAGGUUUUCUGGGAGCUUCUGUCGUGUUAUGCUAAUCAUCAACAACUAAGGUGCUUUAGUUGCUUUACCCUUGUGGAAAAUAUGAGCCAAAGGUGUCUUAAUCUAUGGUGUCACUAUUCAUGAAGUUUGUAGAGUUUUAUGCGUGCUAGGGUUUUGAUGAAAUGCCUAGAUGACCGAAACAUGAAUGUUUCAUACUAAUAUUUGGUCCUACUUGAUGUGUAUUCUUGUAGAUCGUAAGUUGUAAGGGUGUUUGAACCGUGUUGUACUCAUAAAGGGUGAAAUUAAGGUUUUUGUUUGUUUGGUUCACUCUUUGAGCUAAUGUUUAAGACAUAAUAUAUAUGUUCCAUGAAGUUGUUCCUUGGAAUAAGCAACUAUUAGUAGUUUGAAUCGAUAAUUGAACUUCAAGUAUGGAUGCUCCUGUGAAGAAACCUCAGGAUAAUGGGCAGAAAACCUCAACCGAUGCUGACAUUUUGGCUAAAAGGCUAAAAAACCGGGAGCGUCAACGGAGAUAUAGAGAAAGGAAACGUCUUAAAGCUGAUACAAUGAAGGUCUCGGAGACAAACCAACUAGCUUUACUUCCCGUCGAUGUGCCCGUGAUUGCUGCUCCUCAGGAUAGUAAACUGCCCAUGAAUGCUGCUCCGCUCGACUCUUCGGUUCCAGUAAAUGUUGCUCCUUUGGACUCUUCGGUUCUAGUAAAUAUUGCUCCUCUUGACUCUUCAAUGUCAGUGAAUGUCGCUCCACGGGCAUAUGCAAUGCCAGUGGAUGUUGCUUCCGGAGAAUGUGUGAAGCCGGUGCGCGGCGGUCCCCGCGACUCUGUCACCACCCGUGUUUACUCUGGGCGGAAAUGGAAAAGGGAUGCCCGGAAGGCCCAUGCAGUGAGGCAGAAAGAAGUUAGUACUAAUAGUACGGUCUUGCCAGAUUUAGCUUCGACUGGUGGAGUUGAACGGUCGGAUGUGGCAUUGAGUAAUGUAAUUUCUUCACCUGUGACUGCAUUGAUAAAUAAUGGAACACCCAAAUCUAUUCCGAGCAGGAGAAAUUGGAAAGCAGAAGCUAGAAAUAAGAAGAGCUAAAAUUGUUGACAAUAGGUUAGGUCAAGUAUAUCGUAGAAUAUUAUCAAUUGUUAGCAGCCUUGUUGUAAUCUCAUUAUGUACAACAUUGGAAGGACCGAUGAUAUUAUAUCGGAUGAAUGACUUUUAUGGCUCUUUAACUUAUUGUUUUCAGUUCAACCAAGUGAGAAGAUCCUAAGCAGUGCUUUGGGAAAAUUUUGUUGCUUAUGUCCAGGUUUUGCAAGGUAUGAAGUUAGGUUUUAGAAGUAACUUUAUGAUACUCUUCCACUGCUAGAACUUAAGUGGUUGGGACUUGCUUUCUUCGGACGAAACGGAUCUUCAUACGUUUCGUGGGACUCUGACCGUGUGUUUCUGUACAUAUCUCUGUUGUAUGUGGAGAUCGGUCAUCCCUAAUCCGAUUUGUCACUCAAGAAACUAUCCUUCAAGAUUUGUUGCUUUCUUUGGUUA